ACCCGGGACCCUUCAGUCUGCAGGCCAACGCUCUAUCCACUGAGCCAAUCCGGAUGCAUUGCUGUGAGGAAGGAAGUCCAGCAGCCAGCCUCAACUCCAAACAUGUAAGGGAACUUUUAAGCCACUACAGCUGACACGAAGUGAAACAGAGACAAGCUGUUCUCAUCAAGCCCUGCCCAAAUUUCAGGUCCAAAACUUUGGAGAUACAUUUGCUCACAUCUGACAUCCCAUUUACUAGGAAACCUUGUUGGCCCUGUCUUCACAAAAUACCAAACAUCUCACCACUUCUCACCACCUCCACUGAUACUGUGCUCGCUCAAGCCACUGUCUGGAUUAUUUCACAGCUUCUUAACAGGUCUCCUGCAUCUACAUUUUCUCUAUACAGUAACCAGUUGGAUGUUCUUCAAACACAGCCACAGCAACCACUUUGAUUCUCCUUAAACUUGCAAGACACACUCCAGCUUUGCUCUUGUCCUCUCUUCUGGAAUGCUCUUUCUCCAGCUAGCAAUAUAACAGAAAACUCUGAAAUGACAAGGACUUAAACAAGCCGUUUCUGUGUCCACUUGUCCACUUGUCCACUUGCUGAGCAUAUCCCAAACUCCCUCAUGCCUCUUUUGGAGGUGAACUGUGAAAUAAACUAGGUCACUUGGAGUUGAAAACAAAGAAAGGAGAGAAGAAGAAGAAGUUUUCUGCUGGCUUUUGAGCAGAUGGAUCUCAUGGUUAUGAAGGCUGAGAAGGCCCAAAUGAUGCAAAGCUAGGGACUGAAUCCAAGAAUACCUAUCCAGCAAGGCUAUCAUUCAGAAUUGAAGGGGAAAUAAGGAGCUUCACAGACAAAAACGGGUCUUUGAAUGUUAAGCAUCUUUUGCUGUGGAAGGAAAAGUAUGCCUGCUAAAGGGCUUUCUGACGUCAAGGAGCUGGUUGGGAAGGUUUUUAAGCUCCUGAGUUACCCCUGACAGAGGAGACCCUGGGCUGUGUGGACCUUUGGUCUUCCCUGCAAGCAUCUCAGAUAAUUUUCAGAUUAGCAGCACACAGAAGCAAAACCCGUGUAAAAAGCUGAAGUGAAACGCCCAGCUCUCCACAUGACACAUGCCUGUACUACACUGUGACUGACAGUAGGUUAUCCUGGGCUUCUUCACAUGGUAAUGGAAGUACUGCCAGCUGUAAGGAAGAGCAAGCCUCAAUUUGUCAUGUGUUCUAUAUUUGGAUUUCCAUAUCUGGCUAUUGAUAACAGAAGACAGCAAGAAAGAAACAUUUUGUCAACUCCAGUGUAGAGCAGUGAUUCUCAAAUUCUAAUACACCUGUGAACCACCUGAGAC